UUGCGCAAGCUGAUUACGGUGAUUAUGGGGGCAAUGGCCGAAAAAUAACCAAAAACAAUGGGAAAACUGCCCAUUCUGCUGCUGAAAACAGCGUACACAGAGUGACAGAAGUGGUUCGAGGAAGAAAAGUGAGCUAAAAGGGAAGAAUUCAACUGAGCACGACCUAAAACGAGCGUAAACACCGGAGCUAACGAGAGCUAACGGGAGCUAACGGGAGCUAAUGGGAGCUAAUCGGAGCUAACGGGAGCUAACGGGAGCUAAUCGGAGCUAACGGGAGCUAAUGGGAGCUAGUGGGAGCUAAUGGGAGCUGAAAGGACCCCAAGCUAACGUUCCCAGGUGAGCUGGUGUCACCCUGCAGAUCUGAAUGAGUCACGAUGAAUGAGGAAAACACGAGAGAGCCGGAGGGAGCUAAAAGACGCAAAAAGACUCCAGAGACACAAGAAACGCACACAGCGGAGGAGCAAAAACACACACAGCCCGUUUCAGAUUGUCUCCGUCAUGUCCGUCCAACCGUCGUGUCCGUCCAACCGUCGUGUCCAUCCAACGCCAGCUUCCAGGGGCGGACCAGGAAUGCGGGACAGGACCGCUGAAUUACGCAA